CCUACGGGGGGCAGCAGUGGGGAAUAUUGGACAAUGGGGGCAACCCUGAUCCAGCCAUGCCGCGUGUGUGAAGAAGGCCCUCGGGUUGUAAAGCACUUUCAGUGAGGAAGAACGCCUGGUGGUUAAUACCCAUCAGGAAAGACAUCACUCACAGAAGAAGCACCGGCUAACUCCGUGCCAGCAGUCGCGGUAAUACGGAGGGUGCGAGCGUUAAUCGGAAUUACUGGGCGUAAAGCGCGCGUAGGUGGCUUGAUAAGCCGGUUGUGAAAGCCCCGGGCUCAACCUGGGAACGGCAUCCGGAACUGUCAAGCUAGAGUGCAGGAGAGGAAGGUAGAAUUCCCGGUGUAGCGGUGAAAUGCGUAGAGAUCGGGAGGAAUACCAGUGGCGAAGGCGGCCUUCUGGACUGACACUGACACUGAGGUGCGAAAGCGUGGGUAGCAAACAGGAUUAGAUACCCUAGUAGUC
rnacentral:rRNA from 1 species